AUCGUUCAUCUCCCUGGGAAUAAACCCACUAUCACCAGCUUCAGACAGUGCCCAGGCAGGGUAUCAACUUAAGCUGGGACAGUGGGGCACGGAGCGCCCCACUGUCCUGUUAAUCUUGUCCCGCUUUAAGCGGUAAGCCCCCAGGCAGACGGAAGUAGGAAAGAUAGAACUGGCUUUGUAGCUCUUUUCAUUAUCCGAAGGAACGCGCC
rnacentral:ncRNA from 1 species